rnacentral:rRNA from 1 species
GACGAACGCUGGCGGCGUGCUUAACACAUGCAAGUCGUACGGUAAGGCCCUUUCGGGGGUACACGAGUGGCGAACGGGUGAGUAACACGUGAGUAACCUGCCCACAACUUUGGGAUAACGCUAGGAAACUGGUGCUAAUACUGGAUAUGUGCUCCUGCUGCAUGGUGGGGGUUGGAAAGCUCCGGCGGUUGUGGAUGGACUCGCGGCCUAUCAGCUUGUCGGUGGGGUAGUGGCCUACCAAGGCGGCGGCGGGUAGCCGGCCUGAGGGGGUGACCGGCGACAUUGGGACUGAGAUACGGCCCAGACUCCUACGGGAGGCAGCAGUGGGGAAUAUUGCACAAUGGGCGCAAGCCUGAUGCAGCAACGCCGCGUGCGGGAUGACGGCCUUCGGGUUGUAAACCGCUUUCAGCAGGGACGAAGCUUUUUGUGACGGUACCUGCAGAAGAAGCACCGGCUAACUACGUG